rnacentral:rRNA from 1 species
UGGGGGAUAUUGCACAAUGGGCGAAAGCCUGAUGCAGCGACGCCGCGUGGGGAUGAAGGCUUUCGGGUUGUAAACCUCUUUCGCUAUCGAACAAGGCCCGCUUAGGGUGGGUUGAGGGUAGGUGGAGAAGAAGCGCCGGCUACUACGUGCCAGCAGCCGCGGUAAUACGUAGGGCGCGAGCGUUGUCCGGAAUUAUUGGGCGUAAAGGGCUUGUAGGCGGCUUGUUGCGCCUGCUGUGAAAACGCGGGGCUUAACUUCGCGCGUGCAGUGGGUACGGGCAGGCUUGAGUGUGGUAGGGGUGACUGGAAUUCCAGGUGUAGCGGUGGAAUGCGCAGAUAUCUGGAGGAACACCGAUGGCGAAGGCAGGUCACUGGGCCAUUACUGACGCUGAGGAGCGAAAGCAUGGGUAGCGAACAGG